rnacentral:rRNA from 1 species
AUUGAACGCUGGCGGCAUGCCUUACACAUGCAAGUCGAACGGUAACGGGCCUUCGGUGCCGACGAGUGGCGAACGGGUGAGUAAUACAUCGGAACGUGCCCGAUCGUGGGGGAUAACGAGGCGAAAGCUUUGCUAAUACCGCAUACGAUCUACGGAUGAAAGCAGGGGACCGCAAGGCCUUGCGCGGACGGAGCGGCCGAUGGCAGAUUAGGUAGUUGGUGGGAUAAAAGCUUACCAAGCCGACGAUCUGUAGCUGGUCUGAGAGGAUGAUCAGCCACACUGGGACUGAGACACGGCCCAGACUCCUACGGGAGGCAGCAGUGGGGAAUUUUGGACAAAGGGCGCAAGCCUGAUCCAGCCAUGCCGCGUGCAGGAUGAAGGCCUUCGGGUUGUAAACUGCUUUUGUACGGAACGAAAAGCCUUCUUUUAAUACAGGAGGGUCAUGACGGUACCGUAAGAAUAAGCACCGGCUAACUACGUG